rnacentral:rRNA from 1 species
AGUGAACGCUGGCGGUAGGCCUAACACAUGCAAGUCGAACGGCAGCACAGUAAGAGCUUGCUCUUACGGGUGGCGAGUGGCGGACGGGUGAGGAAUACAUCGGAAUCUACUUUUUCGUGGGGGAUAACGUAGGGAAACUUACGCUAAUACCGCAUACGACCUACGGGUGAAAGCAGGGGAUCUUCGGACCUUGCGCGAUUGAAUGAGCCGAUGUCGGAUUAGCUAGUUGGCGGGGUAAAGGCCCAUCAAGGCGACGAUCCGUAGCUGGUCUGAGAGGAUGAUCAGCCACACUGGAACUGAGAUACGGUCCAGACUCCUACGGGAGGCAGCAGUGGGGAAUAUUGGACAAUGGGCGCAAGCCUGAUCCAGCCAUACCGCGUGGGUGAAGAAGGCCUUCGGGUUGUAAAGCCCUUUUGUUGGGAAAGAAAAGCAGCAGGUUAAUACCCCGCUGUUCUGGCGGUACCCAAAGAAUAAGCACCGGCUAACUUCGUG